rnacentral:snoRNA from 1 species
UCCCUGCAGAGUCCCUAACCCUUGGACCUAAAUAUUGGUCCGAGUGGAUAAAGAAAGGAGGAAAAGUAAAGCUGAAACUUGGGGUCUUUAGAGGCUACAAGUGCAUUUCAAACACGA